rnacentral:rRNA from 1 species
GAUGAACGCUGGCGGCGUGCCUAAUACAUGCAAGUCGAGCGAACGGACGAGAAGCUUGCUUCUCUGAUGUUAGCGGCGGACGGGUGAGUAACACGUGGAUAACCUACCUAUAAGACUGGGAUAACUUCGGGAAACCGGAGCUAAUACCGGAUAAUAUUUUGAACCGCAUGGUUCAAAAGUGAAAGACGGUCUUGCUGUCACUUAUAGAUGGAUCCGCGCUGCAUUAGCUAGUUGGUAAGGUAACGGCUUACCAAGGCAACGAUGCAUAGCCGACCUGAGAGGGUGAUCGGCCACACUGGAACUGAGACACGGUCCAGACUCCUACGGGAGGCAGCAGUAGGGAAUCUUCCGCAAUGGGCGAAAGCCUGACGGAGCAACGCCGCGUGAGUGAUGAAGGUCUUCGGAUCGUAAAACUCUGUUAUUAGGGAAGAACAUAUGUGUAAGUAACUGUGCACAUCUUGACGGUACCUAAUCAGAAAGCCACGGCUAACUACGUGCCAGCAGCCGCGGUAAUACGUAGGUGGCAAGCGUUAUCCGAAAUUAUGGGGCGUAAAGCGCGCGUAGGCGGUUUUUUAAGUCUGAUGUGAAAGCCCACGGCUCAACCGUGGAGGGUCAUUGGAAACUGGAAAACUUGAGUGCAGAAGAGGAAAGUGGAAUUCCAUGUGUAGCGGUGAAAUGCGCAGAGAUAUGGAGGAACACCAGUGGCGAAGGCGACUUUCUGGUCUGUAACUGACGCUGAUGUGCGAAAGCGUGGGGAUCAAACAGGAUUAGAUACCCUGGUAGUCCACGCCGUAAACGAUGAGUGCUAAGUGUUAGGGGGUUUCCGCCCCUUAGUGCUGCAGCUAACGCAUUAAGCACUCCGCCUGGGGAGUACGACCGCAAGGUUGAAACUCAAAGGAAUUGACGGGGACCCGCACAAGCGGUGGAGCAUGUGGUUUAAUUCGAAGCAACGCGAAGAACCUUACCAAAUCUUGACAUCCUUUGACAACUCUAGAGAUAGAGCCUUCCCCUUCGGGGGACAAAGUGACAGGUGGUGCAUGGUUGUCGUCAGCUCGUGUCGUGAGAUGUUGGGUUAAGUCCCGCAACGAGCGCAACCCUUAAGCUUAGUUGCCAUCAUUAAGUUGGGCACUCUAAGUUGACUGCCGGUGACAAACCGGAGGAAGGUGGGGAUGACGUCAAAUCAUCAUGCCCCUUAUGAUUUGGGCUACACACGUGCUACAAUGGACAAUACAAAGGGCAGCGAAACCGCGAGGUCAAGCAAAUCCCAUAAAGUUGUUCUCAGUUCGGAUUGUAGUCUGCAACUCGACUACAUGAAGCUGGAAUCGCUAGUAAUCGUAGAUCAGCAUGCUACGGUGAAUACGUUCCCGGGUCU